rnacentral:rRNA from 1 species
AUUGAACGCUGGCGGCAGGCCUAACACAUGCAAGUCGAGCGAGCGGCGGACGGGUGAGUAAUGUCUGGGAAACUGCCUGAUGGAGGGGGAUAACUACUGGAAACGGUAGCUAAUACCGCAUACCAUCAGAUGUGCCCAGAUGGGAUUAGCUAGUAGGUGGGGUAACGGCUCACCUAGGCGACGAUCCCUAGCUGGUCUGAGAGGAUGACCAGCCAUACUGGAACUGAGACACGGUCCAGACUCCUACGGGGGGCAUCAGUGGGGAAUAUUGCACAAUGGGCUCAAUCCUUAUGCAGCCAUGCCGCGUGUAUGAAGCAGGCCUUCGGGUUGUAAAGUACUUUCAGCGGGGAGGCGUUACCCGCAGAAGAAUCACCGGCUAACUCCGUGCCAGCAGCCGCGGUAAUAC